CCUACGGGAGGCUGCAGUGGGGGAUAUUGCACAAUGGGGGAAACCCUGAUGCAGCGACGCCGCGUGUAGGAAGACGGUCCUCUGGAUUGUAAACUACUGUCCCCAGGGACGAAGAUGACGGUACCUGGGGAGGAAGCUCCGGCUAACUACGUGCCAGCAGCCGCGGUAAUACGUAGGGAGCGAGCGUUGUCCGGAAUUACUGGGUGUAAAGGGAGCGUAGGCGGGGAUGCAAGUUGGGUGUUAAAUCUACCGGCUCAACUGGUAGUCGCACUCAAAACUGCAGCUCUGGAGUGAAGUAGAGGCAGGCGGAAUUCCUAGUGUAGCGGUGAAAUGCGUAGAUAUUAGGAGGAACACCAGUGGCGAAGGCGGCCUGCUGGGCUGUGACUGACGCUGAGGCUCGAAAGUGUGGGGAGCAAACAGGAUUAGAUACCCUUGUAGUC
rnacentral:rRNA from 1 species